AUUGAACGCUGGCGGCAGGCCUAACACAUGCAAGUCGAACGAGUGGCGGACGGGUGAGUAAUGUCUGGGAAACUGCCUGAUGGAGGGGGAUAACUACUGGAAACGGUAGCUAAUACCGCAUACCAUCGGAUGUGCCCAGAUGGGAUUAGCUAGUAGGUGGGGUAAAGGCGCACCUAGGCGACGAUCCCUAGCUGGUCGGAGAGGAUGACCAGCCAAAGUGGAACGUAGACACGGUCCAGACUCCUACGGGAGGCAGCAGUGGGGAAUAUUUCACAAUGGGCGCAAGCCUGAUGCAGCCAGCACGCGUGUAUGAAGAAGGCCUUCGGGUUGUAAAGUACUGUCAGCGGGGAGGCGGUACCCGCAGAAGAAGCACCGGCUAACUCCGUGCCAGCAGCCGCGGUAAUUC
rnacentral:rRNA from 1 species